ACCCUUCGAUACGCUGGGCGGCACGCGCGCUACAAUGAGCUUGUUAGAAUGUGGCUUGUCCGUUGUGGAUUAGCGAAUCAUUAAAUGAGUCUCUUGAAUGGGAUAGUUAUCUGCAAUUUCUCAACUUGAAAGAGGAAUCCCUUGUAAAUGCGUUUGAGAACAGCGCUUUGAAUACGUCCCUGUGGAAUGUACACACCGCCCGUCGUUUCUUCCGACUGAUAUUCAAUGUGAAUUGCGAGGAGUUCUGCGAAUCGCCGUAAACAUUGAAUAUUGGAGGAAGAAAAAGUCGUAACA
rnacentral:rRNA from 1 species